rnacentral:rRNA from 1 species
AACGAACGCUGGCGGCAUGCCUAACACAUGCAAGUCGAACGAGACCUUCGGGUCUAGUGGCGCACGGGUGCGUAACGCGUGGGAAUCUACCCUCAGGUUCGGAAUAACUCAGAGAAAUUUGAGCUAAUACCGGAUGAUGACGUAAGUCCAAAGAUUUAUCGCCUGAGGAUGAGCCCGCGUAGGAUUAGGUAGUUGGUGAGGUAAAGGCUCACCAAGCCGACGAUCCUUAGCUGGUCUGAGAGGAUGAUCAGCCACACUGGGACUGAGACACGGCCCAGACUCCUACGGGAGGCAGCAGUGGGGAAUAUUGGACAAUGGGCGAAAGCCUGAUCCAGCAAUGCCGCGUGAGUGAUGAAGGCCUUAGGGUUGUAAAGCUCUUUUACCCGGGAUGAUAAUGACAGGACCGGGAGAAUAAGCUCCGGCUAACUCCGU